rnacentral:rRNA from 1 species
UACGUAGGGUGCAAGCGUUUAAUCGGAAUUACUGGGCGUAAAGCGUGCGCAGGCGGUUCGGAAAGAAAGAUGUGAAAUCCCAGAGCUUAACUUUGGAACUGCAUUUUUAACUACCGAGCUAGAGUGUGUCAGAGGGAGGUGGAAUUCCGCGUGUAGCAGUGAAAUGCGUAGAUAUGCGGAGGAACACCGAUGGCGAAGGCAGCCUCCUGGGGAUAACACUGACGCUCAUGCACGAAAG